rnacentral:rRNA from 1 species
CGUGGAUAACCUGCCUCAUACAGGGGGAUAACAGUUAGAAAUGACUGCUAAUACCGCAUAAGCGCACAGAGAUGCAUGUCUCGGUGUGAAAAGCUGAGGCGGUAUGAGAUGGAUCCGCGUCUGAUUAGCUAGUUGGCGGGGUAGAGGCCCACCAAGGCGACGAUCAGUAGCCGACCUGAGAGGGUGGCCGGCCACAUUGGGACUGAGACACGGCCCAAACUCCUACGGAAGGCAGCAG